ACCCUGAGAGGAAGGAGGAGCUGGUUUCUCAACAGCUCCCUAGACAGGUGGGUGUGCUCACCCCCCAGCCCCAGUCUGGCUGUGAAGGUCCUGAGACCAUCUGGGUAGGGUGCUGGGAGGAAGCCCACUCAGGUGGGAAGAAGAGGAGGAGUGCUGAGAGGGCAGGCCUUCCCCACCAGGUAGCAAAAGAUAAUGGCAUUUUGCAGUUCCAGAUUCAAAAUGGCGCCACCAGCCAGCCUUGACCUGAGAUAAGGCAGGGGCUGCUGGCAGGCAGGCUGCUUGAAGAAGGCAUGGGAGUCCGGCCGGGGGGCUCAUCCUUGCAAUCCCAGCCAUUCGGGAGGCUGAGGUGGAAGGAUUUCUUGAGCGCAGGAGUUGGAGACCAGCCUGGGCAACAUAGUGAGACCCUGACUCAAAAAAUAAAAAAGAAGGCACAGGCCUUCACUCCAACCCUCCCACUCUUAAUCCAGCAGCCAAGGUGGAGAUCAGAAGGGGCAGGGCAGAGCAAUUUUCAUGACAGCAAUUCUCUACUGUCUGUUUAUUCACACAGUGGGCUAAGUGAUUGUAUCUAUAGUCUCUCCUUUGAUCCUCACAGAUGUAAGAAAUGCCACACUAAGUAUCUUAACAUGGGUUAUCUUUUUUCUUUUCUUUUUUCUUUUUUUUUUUUUUUUUUUUUUUGGAGACAGGGUCUCACUCCGUCACCAAGGCAGAUUGCGAAGGUGUCAUGGCAGCUCACUGCAGCCUGGACCUCCCAGGCUUAAGCGAUCCUUCCACCUCAGCCUUGUGAGUAGCUGGGACCACAGGUGCACAUCACCACCACGCCCAAAUAUUUGUAUUUUUUGUAGAGAUAGGGGUCUUUCCAUGUUGCUCAGGCUGGUCUCAAACUCCUGGACUCAAGUGAUCUGCCUGCCUCUGCCUCCCAAUGUGUUGGGAUUACAUACGUGAGCCACCGCAUCCUUUUUUAAAUCUCAAGAAUACUGUGUGUGUUACUGAGUGUGAUACAAUAGUCCCCCCUUAUCUGUGACACACAUGUUCUAAGACCUCCAGUGAAUGCGUGAGGCUGCCCACAGUGCUGAAUCCUAUAUUUCCCAUGCUUUUUCAAUCUGAUAACUAAGAGGACCAUGAGCAGGUGGCGUAGACAGCAUGUGUACACACUGGACAAAGGGAUGAUUCACGUCCCAGGCAGGACAGGGUGGGACAGGGUGAGAUUUUAUCACGCUACUCAGAACGGUGUGCAAUGUAAAACAUGAAUUCUUUCUGGAAUUUUCCAUGUUUUUUUUAUUGUAGUUAGCUGUAGCAAACUGAAACCAUGGAGAGUGAAACUGUGGACAAAGGAGAACUACUGUACUAACAUUAUCAUCCCUGUAGCACAAGUUGGGAAACUGAGGCUCAAAGAGAAAGUCCCCUAUGCAAGCUCCUGUGGGUAUUAAGUGUCAGAAUCUGAAUUUGAACCCUAGUCUAACCGACUCUAGAAGCCAGCUCUGCAUCUUGGAGAUCUCUUCAAUCCUUCAGAACACACAGCCCUAACUGCCCAAAGCACAGCUUACCUUUCUGUGGUAAGAGAAUGAAGGCGGCAGCCACCCUUCACUCCACAUCUGCGUGUUGUUCCUCAGCAGAGGUGGGGAAUCAGGGCCUGCUAAGGGCCUCAACUUCCUCCCACUGGCCCUUCCCAGCCCAAGGUGGAACCCAUGGCCAGAGCAUGCCUCACACCCCACCUUAGUCUCACUAGAAUCUCACAUGUGCAAUUUGCAAAUGAGUGGGCUGUCUUCCUCCACCCAGUCUGACUUUCACUUCUUUAGAAGAUUUUUGUGUGACUCUGUUUUAUUUUGUUUUAACUGCAGACAAAUGCCACAGAGCACUUUUCUGCUAAAGAAAACUGUCUAGCUACUGCUCACCUGGCAAAGCCAGUCUGCCUUCCAACUGGAACAGAGCUUCCCCUUUGCGAAUGGCUUUACGCUGACAAAGCCCUUUUCUGUCCUUAUCUCAUCUACUCCUCCGCCAGCCAGAGUUAGCAGUAUUAUUCUCAGAGCGCCCGAGAACAGAGUGUUUAUUCUUAUCCCUAUUAUCUAAAAGAGUGGAGGCGUUUAUGAUCACUCAUUGAAUUGCUAUGGAGUGGGGAGAGCUCGGAAAGGUGAAGUGACUUGCUCAAGGUCACACAGUGACAGCAUCAGAACUCAACUUUUGCUUUUCUUUCUUUCUUUCUUCCUUUUCUUUCUCUCUUUCUUUCUUUGUCUCUUUCUUUCUUUUUCGUUCUUUUCCUUUCUCUUUUCUUUUCUUUCUCUUUCUCUUUCCUUCCUUUUCUUUCUCUUUUCUUUCUCUCUUUCUCUUUCUUUCUUUUCUUUCUUUCUCCUUCUUUUCUUUCUUCUUUCUUCCUCUUUCUUUCUUUCCUUUUUUUGUUGACAGGGUCUCUGUCACCCAGGUUGGAGUGCAGUGGUACGAUCUUGGCUCACUGCAACCUCCACCUCGCAGGUCCAAGCAAUUAUCCUGCCUCAGCCUCCCAAGUAGCUGGGAUUACAGGCACCCACCAUCACACCUGGCUAAUUUUUGUAUUUUCAGUAGAGACAGGGUUUCAUCAUGUUGGCCAGGCUUGUCUGGAACUCCUGGCCUCAAGUGAUCCACCCGCCUCGGCCUCCCAAAGUGCUGGGAUUAUAGGCAUGAGCCACCACGCCCAGCCACCCUUUUGCUUUCUAACUCCAAAACCUAUUCUGUAGCACUCCAGAAUGUAUCUUCAAGGAAGUUUAUUGCAGCACUUUUUACAGCAAGCUAAAUAUCCCUCACUAGUGGACUGAUAACAUGUGGUCCCACUAGGGCCGGGCGAGGUGACUCACACCUGUAAUCCCCGCACUUUGGGAGGCUGAGGUAGGCGGAUCACUUGAGGUCAGGAGCUCAAGACCAGCCUGGCCAACAUGGUGAAACCCGCCUCUACUAAAAAUACAAAAAUUAGCUGAGCAUGAUGGCAGAUGCCUGUAAUCCCAGCUGUUCGGGAGGCUGAGACAGGAGAAUUGCUUGAAUCUGGGGCAGAGGUUGCACUGAGCCAAGAUAGCACCACUGUACUCCAGCCUGGGUGACAGAGCAAGACUCUGUCUCAAAAAAAAAAAAUGUGGUCCCACUAGCAGCCUGGACGUCACCUGGGAGUGUGCAGAAUCUCAGGUGCCACCCAGACCCACUGAAUCAGGGGCUGCAGUUUAACAAGACCC
rnacentral:lncRNA from 10 species